GUGCCAGCAGCCGCGGUAAUACGUAGGGUGCAAGCGUUAUCCGGAAUUAUUGGGCGUAAAGGGCUCGUAGGCGGUUCGUCGCGUCCGGUGUGAAAGUCCAUCGCUUAACGGUGGAUCCGCGCCGGGUACGGGCGGGCUUGAGUGCGGUAGGGGAGACUGGAAUUCCCGGUGUAACGGUGGAAUGUGUAGAUAUCGGGAAGAACACCAAUGGCGAAGGCAGGUCUCUGGGCCGUUACUGACGCUGAGGAGCGAAAGCGUGNGGGAGCGAACAGGAUUAGAUACCCUGGUAGUCC
rnacentral:rRNA from 1 species